GACGAACGCUGGCGGCGUGCUUAAUACAUGCAAGUCGAACGGAAAGGCCCUGCUUUUGCGGGUUUCUCGUUUGCCGAACGCGGGAGUAACACGUGUGUAUCCUCUCCCUGUCUUUGGGGUAUCUCUAGGAAACUCGGUCUCUUAUCCGAUAGGAUCUUCUGCAGCACGUGGUGGGUUAGUAAGUUUCGGCGGUUGGGGAUGGACUCGCGGCUUAUCCGCUUGAUGGUGGGGUAGUGGCUUUCCAAGCCUUUGACGGGUAGCCGGCCUGGGAGGGUGACCGGCCACAUUGGGACUGAGAUACGGCGCAGACUCCUACGGGAGGCAGCAGUGGGGAAUAUUGCACAGUGGGCGGAAGCCAGAUGCAGCAGCGCCGCGUGCGGGAUGACGGCCUUCGGGUUGUAAACCGAUUUCGCCUGUGACGAAGAGUGAGUGACGGUAAUGAGUAAAGAAGCACCGGCUAACUACGUG
rnacentral:rRNA from 1 species